AUCCAGAUCAGAGUUUCUCUUCUGAAUGCUCUAAGCUUGUAGAUAGACGAUGAACCAACUCUGGCUCCCUCUGAUCUGCAUCCGCCUUUUAUAGGAUCUGCUGAUCAUCAAAACAAUUUUCCAAUGUGUAUAUGAGAGGAAAUGACAAAUGUCAAAAUGUACAGUACAUCAGUUAGUCAAAAGGAAAAAAAAUAUUUUGGCCCAUGCUCAGUUGUCAAUUUUUACUGAUUUUGAAGCUUGUAUGUAUGACCAUUUUUCCUUUCCAGGAACUUAUUUAACCUCACACUGAGGACGGCCAAACAAUCACCUGAAUUUUGGGGUACUUAAGCUAAAGUUUAUUGAUAGAAAAAAAACUUAAAUUAUCAAUAAGAUGCUCACUUUUCCUGGAUGUUAUAGAAACAAUAGUACAGAAAGUUUGAAAAAUUCCUUUGAAGCCAGCAUUCUUUACUAGAGAUGAUGAGAUGGCCAUGCUUUCCUCAUUCACAGGAAUAUUAUUAUACAAUAUAUCUUGACAUCAUGCCAGCUGGUAAUUAGCAUAACCUAUGCCUAAUAAACCAACCAAUUAACAAUUAAUAGCACACAUAGAGAACCCAUACGACUCGCCAAGCGUGCUCCAUUAAACAAGUGUUAGAGCAUGCAUUUUUGUCAAGGGCCAGCACUAGAGUAAGCUGCCAUGCUGAUUCUUGAUCCCAAGAACUGGAACAUCACAAUGUGAUAGAGCUAGUCAGGAGCACCUAACGCAUCGUAUAAAAAUACGCACCAUGUGGAUCAUAUUGAGAUUGCAACAGCCAGAUGCUAAAUGCACUAGUAAACAUGCCAGCUAUGAUGCACGGGUGGUCAGAGAAGAUAAGCACAGCAUCAUGUGUUGGAACCUGGAAGUGAAGCCAAUUAGUUGUCCCUCCCACCAAGAAUCAUCAAAUUAACCAGCUCCUUUCUCUCAUAAGAUCACUGGCAUGUUCACCGAUCUCACUACACUGAUCCGGAUUUGACAUUAAACUACUCACUCGUGCAGAUGAGUUUGCCAUUGAUACAGCAGGCAUGACAGACUGAUCAUGAACUCAAAUAUUAGAGAUAGAAAUGCAUCUUAUACCAAGGAGACAAAAAAAAGCAUCUGUUUGUCAUGGAGAUGGGUGGCCUUGUUGCAGCAGCACGGCUUUCAAUAUCAAUGAGAUUCUUGCUGUUGCUUCCACUACUUUCGUUAUAAAUACAUACAAACCAUAGCAGGGUCAACAACAUUGAAACACGGUUUCUCCUGUUCUCUUCCAUUUCUUCAGAAAAAAAGGAAGCACUGCACUAUCCAUAGAGGCCAUG
rnacentral:lncRNA from 1 species